UACGUAGGUGGCAAGCGUUAUCCGGAUUUACUGGGUGUAAAGGGCGUGUAGGCGGGGACGCAAGUCAGAUGUGAAAACCACGGGCUCAACCUGUGGCCUGCAUUUGUAACUGUGUUUCUUGAGUACUGGAGAGGCAGACGGAAUUCCUAGUGUAGCGGUGAAAUGCGUAGAUAUUAGGAGGAACACCAGUGGCGAAGGCGGUCUGCUGGACAGCAACUGACGCUGAGGCGCGAAAGCGUGGGGAGCAAACAGG
rnacentral:rRNA from 1 species